rnacentral:lncRNA from 1 species
CUGUUGUCGAGCCCCAGAUUUUCCUUCACAGUUGUUAGUGCUUCCAUCACUAAUUGAAACCAACGCACAGGCAACCGCUGAGGAAAAAUCGCCAGCAUGUUAGAGACUGGAAAAGAAGCUGAGGUGACACCAAGAAAUAGAAGACAGAGAAGAUGAAGAAGAAGAAAAAAACUAUCAAAGACAUGAUGAAACUCUUCUAGAAUUUAAAACUGUGAGUCCCCAAUUUCUUGCAGGACAGUAACUUUUAUAGCUUUAUCACCGUUAGCACCAACAAAGGAGUUGAUGCCAGAGAUGAAAAAAGCUGGUUUAACUCAGUUUGCAAGAGCUGACUGUUAACUGUUCAGGAUUUCAGCAGAAAAAAAUAAAAGAAACCAAAAUAAAACAAACAAAAAGGAAAAAGAAGAAACCCACACACAACCAUAAAAACAUAAAAUCUGAAACCAUCAAUUGCCCCUCCCAGCUCCACCCAACCCCUCCCAUAUUUUCCUUUUCCUUUGACACUAGCUCCAUCUGAGCUUUACCCUUGGCUCAGGGCUUUGAAGAAGGAAGCUACCAUCCUCAGAGACGCUUCUGAGGUUUGUUUUCAUAUCCCAUGUGCUGAAAGGAACCUCAGAAGAUCAAGGCGUUAGUCAAGAGUAGAGCUUGCAGAGUGAGAUCACACUCUCCAACCCUCAAGCAGCGUGGAGACUGAAAAUGACUAGCACAGGUAAAUCUGUGUGCUGAUCUCUGAACAGUCUGAGGAAGGGAGCCUUGCAAAGCGAGAAGGGCAGUAGGGCAGAGAGAAACUUUCAAAUUCGGGCAAAGGUCUGACAUGGUCUCAUGAUACUUAAUCAAGUGAACACACGAAGACCAAAGCCUGCUGCACACCAUCCAGCGUGUACUAGGAAGCGGUCUGAGAUGCUUAGGGAUGAGCUUGCCCUGAAACCUGCACACAGACACCAUCCCGGUAAACAAGUGUUGGAGAACAGAUGGCUGGUACUGUGAGCUACGAGUUUCCUAAGCCCAAGAGAUUCCAUCUGCAACUGCUGCUCUCCUUGUGGCAGGACUGACUG